GCUAGACAGAUCUGGUUGUUGUUUGUUUGUAAGUGGGAUGAUGUUAGACAAAUGUCAUAGCCCCUCUGGACUCCAGAGUCUAUCCAUAGCAGGAACUGGCUAAAGGGAGGCUUAGAAGAUACUGUUAGCAUUUCGUCUAAGCUCCGCCCCACAGUUACCUGGCGAUGGCCAGGCAUGCGCACUCACUUAUAAGGGGCUGCUCUCCUCACUCUGCUCUCUUGCUCUUGCCUUCUAAUAUAUACUGUGUGUGAAGUCGGCUAUGUGCUGCUCAUAAGCGCUUCCAGAUGCAAGGAUGCAGUCAUCUGUCUUUCAUGGAAUGGGGUAAGGGCCAGGCUUGCAGGUAGCCCCGGGAAGAGAGAAACUUCUACUAACGGGAGAGGGAAGGGUCUGGACCACCGAGGUUUGCCUGAAGGUUGGUGCUACGGAAGCUGCAGCACUGCAGACUAUUUUGACUUCCAACAGUGGCUUAAUGUCUCUGCCCAGGUGACAAGUGACUGUAAUAAAAGCAAAGCCUGCCUCCUUA